rnacentral:rRNA from 1 species
AUAUUGGGCGUAAGGGCUCGCAGGCGGUUUCUUAAGUCUGAUGUGAAAGCCCCCGGCUCAACCGGGGAGGGUCAUUGGAAACUGGGGAACUUGAGUGCAGAAGAGGAGAGUGGAAUUCCACGUGUAGCGGUGAAAUGCGUAGAGAUGUGGAGGAACACCAGUGGCGAAGGCGACUCUCUGGUCUGUAACUGACGCUGAGGAGCGAAAGCGUGGGGAGCGAACAGGAUUAGAUACCCUGGUAGUCCACGCCGUAAACGAUGAGUGCUAAGUGUUAGGGGGUUUCCGCCCCUUAGUGCUGCAGCUAACGCAUUAAGCACUCCGCCUGGGGAGUACGGUCGCAAGACUGAAACUCAAAGGAAUUGACGGGGGCCCGCACAAGCGGUGGAGCAUGUGGUUUAAUUCGAAGCAACGCGAAGAACCUUACCAGGUCUUGACAUCCUCUGACAAUCCUAGAGAUAGGACGUCCCCUUCGGGGGCAAAGUGACAGGUGGUGCAUGGUUGUCGUCAGCUCGUGUCGUGAGAUGUUGGGUUAAGUCCCGCAACGAGCGCAACCCUUGAUCUUAGUUGCCAGCAUUCAGUUGGGCACUCUAAGGUGACUGCCGGUGACAAACCGGAGGAAGGUGGGGAUGACGUCAAAUCAUCAGGCCCCUUAUGACCUGGGCUACACACGUGCUACAAUGGACAGAACAAAGGGCAGCGA